GUUACUUCUUUGUAAAAUGUUUAAAGAGAAAAAAAUUCAUAUCUGUUCUUACCAGUUUAAUAUCUGAUAUGAUCUCUAUCCAAGGAUAAUAUACUUUUUAAAAAAUCUAAGUAGGAGGUGAAAUAGGAGCUUGCUCUGUCUAGUCCAUGAGCUGACCUGGUAUUUCAGCACCUCCAGGAACAAGGCUCCCUCCUU